rnacentral:rRNA from 1 species
GUGAAAAGAACCCCGGGAGGGGAGUGAAAUAGAACCUGAAACCCUGCACUUACAAGCUGUGGAAGCACAUUUCUUGUGUGACCGCGUACUUUUUGUAGAACGGGCCAACGAGUUACGUUAAGUAGCAAGGUUAAGCACUUAAGGUGCGGAGCCGUAGCGAAAGCGAGUUUUAACUGAGCGUUCAGUUACUUGACGUAGACCCGAAACCGGGCGACCGACCCAUGAGCAGGAUGAAGCGAAAGUAAAAUUUCGUGGAGG